AGAACGAACGCUGGCGACAGGCUUAACACAUGCAAGUCGAACGCCCCGCAAGGGGAGUGGCAGACGGGUGAGUAACGCGUGGGAAUCUACCCAGUUCUACGGAAUAACACAGGGAAACUUGUGCUAAUACCGUAUACGCCCUACGGGGGAAAGAUUUAUCGGGAUUGGAUGAGCCCGCGUUGGAUUAGCUAGUUGGUGGGGUAAUGGCCUACCAAGGCGACGAUCCAUAGCUGGUCUGAGAGGAUGAUCAGCCACACUGGGACUGAGACACGGCCCAGACUCCUACGGGAGGCAGCAGUGGGGAAUAUUGGACAAUGGGCGCAAGCCUGAUCCAGCCAUGCCGCGUGAGUGAUGAAGGCCUUAGGGUUGUAAAGCUCUUUCAGUGGGGAAGAUAAUGACGGUACCCACAGAAGAAGCCCCGGACAACUUCGCGCCAGCAGCCGC
rnacentral:rRNA from 1 species